UGGACAGAUUAUUGUAUUCGACUGUAUUCACGGUGUGAAACAGGAGAUUACAUUGUUUUAAAACGGAAAGUGAAUCAAUUAAACUCAAUUAUAACAC
rnacentral:pre_miRNA from 1 species